UCUUCCUGCUUUUGUGAAUGCUGAAAACUGUGCCCAGCUCAUCUCAUCACAGAUGCACCAUCUCUAGCCCUCAAAGACCGAAGUGGCUUCAGUCCUCUCUGACUCAGAGAUUCUCCCUUGCUGCUGGGAUGUCACCUGGGCAGGUGAAUCCACCCACUUCCAGAGUUCCCUGGACCUCCCCUCCUUCUGGGUGGAGGCCUCUGUGCCAGAACCUCUGGAGUUUCUCACACAGGGAAGGAUCCGUGCAUGGAAAUCUGUAAACAAACAAACAAAAAGACCCAUCAGGACUAGGAACCCUAUCAUCCUUCUCUUCCUGGUGUUCAGUACAAAACCUGACAUGUACAAGAUGUUCAUCAGCCACUGCUGAAUUAAAAGCUGUUUUUCAGA